rnacentral:rRNA from 1 species
ACAUACAUGCAGUCGAGCGGACAGAUGGGAGCUUGCUCCCUGAUGUUAGCGGCGGACGGGUGAGUAACACGUGGGUAACCUGCCUGUAAGACUGGGAUAACUCCGGGAAACCGGGGCUAAUACCGGAUGGUUGUUUGAACCGCAUGGUUCAAACAUAAAAGGUGGCUUCGGCUACCACUUACAGAUGGACCCGCGGCGCAUUAGCUAGUUGGUGAGGUAACGGCUCACCAAGGCAACGAUGCGUAGCCGACCUGAGAGGGUGAUCGGCCACACUGGGACUGAGACACGGCCCAGACUCCUACGGGAGGCAGCAGUAGGGAAUCUUCCGCAAUGGACGAAAGUCUGACGGAGCAACGCCGCGUGAGUGAUGAAGGUUUUCGGAUCGUAAAGCUCUGUUGUUAGGGAAGAACAAGUACCGUUCGAAUAGGGCGGUACCUUGACGGUACCUAACCAGAAAGCCACGGCUAACUACGUGCCAGCAGCCGCGGUAAUACGUAGGUGGCAAGCGUUGUCCGGAAUUAUUGGGCGUAAAGGGCUCGCAGGCGGUUUCUUAAGUCUGAUGUGAAAGCCCCCGGCUCAACCGGGGAGGGUCAUUGGAAACUGGGGAACUUGAGUGCAGAAGAGGAGAGUGGAAUUCCACGUGUAGCGGUGAAAUGCGUAGAGAUGUGGAGGAACACCAGUGGCGAAGGCGACUCUCUGGUCUGUAACUGACGCUGAGGAGCGAAAGCGUGGGGAGCGAACAGGAUUAGAUACCCUGGUAGUCCACGCCGUAAACGAUGAGUGCUAAGUGUUAGGGGGUUUCCGCCCCUUAGUGCUGCAGCUAACGCAUUAAGCACUCCGCCUGGGGAGUACGGUCGCAAGACUGAAACUCAAAGGAAUUGACGGGGGCCCGCACAAGCGGUGGAGCAUGUGGUUUAAUUCGAAGCAACGCGAAGAACCUUACCAGGUCUUGACAUCCUCUGACAAUCCUAGAGAUAGGACGUCCCCUUCGGGGGCAGAGUGACAGGUGGUGCAUGGUUGUCGUCAGCUCGUGUCGUGAGAUGUUGGGUUAAGUCCCGCAACGAGCGCAACCCUUGAUCUUAGUUGCCAGCAUUCAGUUGGGCACUCUAAGGUGACUGCCGGUGACAAACCGGAGGAAGGUGGGGAUGACGUCAAAUCAUCAUGCCCCUUAUGACCUGGGCUACACACGUGCUACAAUGGACAGAACAAAGGGCAGCGAAACCGCGAGGUUAAGCCAAUCCCACAAAUCUGUUCUCAGUUCGGAUCGCAGUCUGCAACUCGACUGCGUGAAGCUGGAAUCGCUAGUAAUCGCGGAUCAGCAUGCCGCGGUGAAUAAGUUCCCGGGCCUUGUACACACCGCCCGUCACACCACGAGAGUUUGUAACACCCGAAGUCGGGGUAGGUUUACUUU